GAUCUCUUGAGGAUGGGUUCGAUCCCCUUCUCUCUAG
rnacentral:tRNA from 1 species